rnacentral:rRNA from 1 species
GGCGGUUAAUUUGGUAUUAGAGGAACUUGCUAUUAAGUGGUAUUUACUCCUUAAAUUUUAAGUGUUGGAAGUCUAUUUAUCUCCGUUAUUAGAAGUUUUGUUUGAGGUUAAUGUUGAUUUAUAUUUCAGGUCAAGAUGUAGCUUCAAUGUUAAGUAGUUAGUUACAGUUUUGUAAAAUGAUGGAGCUAUUUCUGUUGGAGGAAAGUGAAAUUGAAUUUGUUUGUAAUUGUUUUUAUAGUGAAAUAGUGAAAUAUUCAGAUUA